rnacentral:rRNA from 1 species
CGAGCCGGUGGGCGGCAAACCCAUKGAGGCGCAAGUAACCUGACAGGUGGGACCCYGACCGCAAGGGAGGGAGCNCCAUCGACCGMCCGNGAUCUUCUGUGAAAGRUUUGAGUGUGAGCAUACCUGUUGGGACCCGAAAGAUGGUGAACUAUSCCUGAGCAGGGCGAAGCCAGAGGAAACUCUGGUGGAGGCUCGUAGCGAUACUGACGUGCAAAUCGUUCGUCAGACUUGGGUAUAGGGGCGAAAGACUAAUCGAACCAUCUAGUAGCUGGUUCCCUCCGAAGUUUCCCUCAGGAUAGCUGGAGCUCGUGUAAAAGUUUUAUCAGGUAAAGCGAAUGAUUAGAGGCAUCGGGGGUGUAACNCCCUCGNCCUAUUCUCAAACUUUAAAUAGGUAAGCCGCCGG